rfam:Camelus ferus unplaced genomic scaffold scaffold1405, whole genome shotgun sequence.
GAGGGUAUAGCUCAGUGGUAGAGCACACGCCUAGCAUGCCUGAUGUUCUAGGUUCAAUCCCCAGUACCUCCU